UAGGGAAUAUUGGUAAUGUGCGAAAGCGCGAACCAGCAACGCCGCGUGCACGAUGAAGGCCUUCGGGUCGUAAAGUGCUUUUAGAGAGGAUGAGGAAGGACAGUACUUUCUGAAUAAGCCUCGGCUAACUACGUGCCAGCAGCCGCGGUAAAACGUAGGAGGCGAGCGUUAUCCGGAUUUACUGGGCGUAAAGCGCGUGCAGGCGGAUUGGAGAGUUGGAUGUGAAAGCUCCCGGCUUAACUGGGAGAGGUCGUUCAAUACUUCCAGUCUUGAGUGCAGUAGAGGGUAGUGGAAUUCCUGGUGUAGUGGUGAAAUGCGUAGAUAUCCGGAGGAACACCAGUGGCGAAAGCGGCUUCCUGGACUGUAACUGACGCUCAGACGCGAAAGCUAGGGUAGCAAACG
rnacentral:rRNA from 1 species